GAACAGUGAAUUAAUCCUAGUGUUUUAUACAUUUUUUUUUAAAAAAGAAUCUAAGCCAGAAUGAGGUUACUGCCUAUGCAGAGAAGAAGACAGCUCAUCACAGGCCUGAGAAUCAGGAGAGUCAAUGGUAUUAGUGCUUGUCCGGAAGCCAUCAUGCUUCAAAACCAAGAAGAGCUGAUUUUCCAGUUGGAGUCUAAAGUGACUUGCUGAGGUUGGUACUAUUUGUCAUUCCCAUUUUCACUGACAAGGAAGAGAAAAGUUAAAGAACUACUUGAGAUUACCCAGCUGGCACAUGGCCAGGCGAAGAUUGGAACAAAGCCUGCGGAGCUCAGAACCUGUGCAGUUGACUGUCACAUUAUAUCACUCUUACCUCCCAGCGAUCUACAGUAAGGCCCCCACCAAGAGAUUGAGGAGAGAGGGAAGACUUCAGGAGACUUGGACUGGAGAGUGUGCUGUAAACUGAGUCUGGUCCACAUGAUAUUAUCGUGGUCUGUAUCUGGAGGAAUGAUAUGUUAACAGAAGGGACUGGAAUGAAAAGACAAAAAGAGUAGAGACCACAGGAUAACAUAUAUCUGGGUUUUCCCAGCAUUGCCCAUGGAAUAGAGAGCUGUAUUCAUUGACCAGGAGUACCCUGAUCACGCAGAGUAAGAAUACUCUAUUGCAGAAUGGGACAGCAAUAUCAGGUUUUUCUGCAGAGUGAAUAAAACACCCUUCUAAUCCCCCUGUGCUGGUUAAUGAACAAAUGGCAUUUCUGUUUAUAAAUCAGCCUUUUGUGAGUUUGGUUUGCUUGAAUCAGCACCUCCCCCUUCCCUACAACCCCCUCUCCCCCUCAAUCACCUGCUAUUCCUCUCCCAUCUGCCUCCACUGCCCAGAGCUUCAUCAGUCCCUCCACUUCCCCCGACCCCUGGGCUGAACUAUAGUGACUACGAAAGCUGCCGGCUUGCACCAGCCAGCUAGCUUGCCAGCUUUACUCACCACCAUUCUGAGCGGCUGUUCUGAGUUGUUUACAGCAUAAUACAAAUUUAUCUGGGGAACGGCUUUUAAGUUAUUUUUGUGCCAUGGUUUUGAUUUAUUUAAGCUUCUCCCAACUAAUUGAAGAAGCUUAGUACAUUUUGGUACAGAAAUUUGAUUUGUCAUUUUGCGCUCUUGAUCUGUUGCCUCCCAGGAAUGUGUGGUUCCUAUCUUAUUUGCCAUCUGACGCAGGGGAAAGCUUAGGUGGUGGACAUUUAUAUUUUGUGCAGUUAA